rnacentral:rRNA from 1 species
AAUCAACGCUGGCGGCGUGCCUCAGACAUGCAAGUCGAACGCGAAAUCUCCCUUCGGGGAGAAAGUAGAGUGGCGCACGGGUGAGUAACACGUAGGUAAUUUGCCUUCGGGUGGGGAAUAACAGCCGGAAACGGCUGCUAAUACCGCAUAAUGCAGCGGCUCGACAUCAAGACAGUUGUUAAAGCGGGGGAUCGCAAGACCUCGCGCCUGAAGAGAAGCCUGCGGCAGAUUAGCUAGUUGGCAGGGUAAUGGCCUACCAAGGCGACGAUCUGUAACCGGCCUGAGAGGGCGGUCGGUCACACUGACACUGACAUACGGGGUCAGACUCCUACGGGAGGCAGCAGUCGGGAAUUUUGGGCAAUGGGCGAAAGCCU